rnacentral:rRNA from 1 species
UAUCGGAACGUGCCCUGGAGUGGGGGAUAACGCAGCGAAAGUUGCGCUAAUACCGCAUACGAUCUAAGGAUGAAAGUGGGGGAUUCGCAAGAACCUCAUGCUCCUGGAGCGGCCGAUAUCUGAUUAGCUAGUUGGUGGGGUAAAGGCCUACCAAGGCAUCGAUCAGUAGCUGGUCUGAGAGGACGACCAGCCACACUGGAACUGAGACACGGUCCAG